rnacentral:rRNA from 1 species
UACGUAGGGUGCAAGCGUUGUCCGGAAUCAUUGGGCGUAAAGCGCGCGUAGGUGGCUUCAUAAGUCCGUUGUGAAAGUCAAAGGCUCAACCUUUGAAAGCCGAUGGAUACUGUGGAGCUAGAGUACGGAAGAGGCGAGUGGAAUUCCUGGUGUAGCGGUGGAAUGCGCAGAUAUCAGGAGGAACACCAAUAGCGAAGGCAGCUCGCUGGGACGUUACUGACACUGAGGCGCGAAAGCGUGGGGAGCGAACAGG